AUGAGUGACUUGUUACAGAGCCCCCCACUCCUCAUCAACCGAAAUUCGCUACGGCGCGGGGGAAUCAGUUUAGUGUCGAAAAUUGGAGCGAUUAGACGUGUACGGUGUCACUCUGUGACAGAUUAUUGCUUGAUUGCGAGAUAAAUUUCGAGGUAUUAGAAGGACGCUACGAAAUUCAAAAAGAUGCCGCGAAAUUCAAAAGGACACCCCGGUCGUCGAUGAUAAAUUCGAGAUCUUUUCAUGGAAAUUUGGUUACUUCCAGCCUUCGCUUCUUCCAUCGAAAUCGAUGAUUCCAAUUUGAUGGCAGCUUGGUAAUGACUUUCCUUGGGUUACAACGAUAUUGACGACAACUAAUCUUCGCAUCUAAUCGUGAGUCGCAUGCAUUUUUGUUCCUCUGGUCACUCAAUCAUGUCGUAGGAUGAAAGGUCCGAAUCGACACGGGUUGACUGGUUGUAUCACGUAGAAUUUUUGACGAGCAUAGUGACCGCGGGUAUUUAUCAUACUCGUGAGUAGUAACGUUUUCUUGUCUGUGUUUUAUUUAUUAGUUCAGGAUAGGUUUUCUUGCACAUCGCGUUUUUAAAUAUUGAUGAUAAUGUAUGUUGACAAUUAGCAUACUUAUAUAUACGAUUAAAAAUUACAGAAUAUAUUCACUAAAAUUAUUUACAAAAUCAAAUUAUAUUCAAUGUGACUAUUUAUGAAGAUCGAAUGUUCAUACAAGAAUGUAUAUGAAUAUUGAAAUAAACAACGAAAUCACUUCGUUUGAAUAUUUUGUAGUGGAGAAGUUUGGUACCCUCAGGCUUCGUUAAUAUGGAAAUUCAAUUAUGAUUAAAGUUAUUAUAAUGCUGAUAAAGAUCAUAAAUGAUAUUUAUUUUAAUCUUUUUAACUUUAUAAUGGAGCAGUUUUAUUAUUUGAGCAUACACGGUAUAAUUUCAGUAAAAUUCGGAAUAUGGAAUAUGAAAGUAUAUGUUAAAGCCUAACUUUGUCUGCCCGUUAAGACAUAUGUUAUAAAAUUUCACGUGCAAGAAGACACUUCGCGACAGGCAGAUUUCAGAAUCAAAACAAGUUUUCAACGUUCCUUUGUGUUUUCAAAGAUGUGUUUUGAUAAAGAUAUCGCCUGAGGAUAUUUCCAUUAAUAGAGUUCAUUUAGAGUCCAUUGUUAUUCAUUGAUAUAAAUAUUACUUGCAUUGAAUCUUAAUUUAUGUUUGACAAAUAUGUAAAUUCUUCGUUAAUUUCCUUCAUUUUAGUUUAUCAAUUUAAUUGUUCAUUGAAAUAAUAAAGUAAAAUAAAGUAUAGAAUUAUUAAAAUUUGAAAUGAAAUUAGACUGGAAAAUCAAAUUAGCCCGUUAGAUACAAAAUAUAAUAGAUAGGCUAAUCAUAUUUUUAGCAUAGGAUUUUCAGGUUUAACCCCUUCCAUGUUCAUUGUCAGAAUCUCACUCACGUGCCCAGGUGCUUCUUGGGUGGGAAGAAGGCAAUGGGCAUGAUGAUUAGUCUAUAAGCCUAACAAUGUUUUCAGCGACUGACGUUGCGUUAGCGUAUCGUGCACAACGUAUUUUCCACUGUGUGUGUAUGUGGUUAGGCUGUGGAAUUGCGUCGUUUUUGCUUUUCAUUAUAAUCUUGAAAUACUUAUGGAAUUCAGAAAUAUGUAUAUUCCAAUUACCAUUGGAAAUAUUCGGUGCUGAUAAAUAUGUAUAGUGAAUU